rnacentral:lncRNA from 10 species
AGUUUGUUUUUAAUUUUUAUUACUUUAUUUUUCCAUAAGUUAUUGGGGAACAGGUGGUGUUUGGUUACAUGAGUACAUUUUUUAGUGGUGAUUUGGGAGACUUUGGUGCACCCAUCACCCAAGCAGUGUACAUUGCACCAUAUUUGGAGUCUUUUAUCCCUCACCCCCCUCCCACUCUUCCUUCCAAGUCCCCAAAGUCCAUUGUAUCAUUCUUACGCCUUUGCGUCCUCAUAGCUUAGCUCCCACAUAUCAGUGAGAACAUACAAUGUUUAGUUUUCCAUUCCUGAGUUACUUCCCUUAGAAUAAUAGUCUCCAGUUUCAUCCAGGUCACUGCAAAUGCUGUUAAUACAUUCCUUUUUAUGGUUGAGUAGUAUACCAUCAUAUAUACAUAUAUAUAUUCACACCUGUAAUCCCAGCACUUUGGGAGGCUGAGGCAGGUGGAUCACCUGAGGUCAGGAGUUCAAGACCAGCCUGGCAAACAUGGAGAAACCCUGUCUCUACCAAAAAUACAAAAUUUAGCCAGGCAUGGUGGCACACACCUGUAAUCCCAGUUACCUGGGAGGCUGAGGCAGGAGAAUCACUUGAACCUGGGAGGCAGAAGUUGCAAUGAGUGGAGAUCACGCCACUGCACUCCAGCCUCGGCAACAGAGUGAGACUCCAUCUCAAAAAGUAAUAAUAAUAAAUGAAUUAAAAAUAAAUAAAAAUAAAAAAGCCUUAAUUAGGGCUGGGCACAGUGGUUCAUGCCUAUAAUCCUAGCACUUGGGAGGCUGAGGCAGGUGGAUCACUUGAGGUCAGGAGUUCAAGACCAGCCUCACAAACAUGGUGAAACCCUGUCUCUACCAAAAAAUUUAUAAAUUAGCCAGAUGUGGUAAUGCACACCGGUACCAGGUCCCAGCUACUCAGGAGGUUGAGGCAGGAGAAUCACUUGAAGUCGGGCGGCGGAGGUUGCAGUGAGCCGAGAUGGUGCCACUGCACUCCAGCCUGAGCAACAGAGCAAGACUCCAUCUUUAAAAAAAAAAGCCUCAAUUAAAAAAAAAUAGCUUCCAUAAAUUUAAAAGAAUUGAAAUCGUACAAAGUACGUUCUCUGAUCACACUAGAGUAAAAGUUAAUAACUAAUCUGGGAAAGUCACAAAUAUGUGAAAAACAAACACUCCUAAAUAACCAAUGGGUCAAAGAUGAAAUCAGAGGGGAAAUCAGAAUAUUUUUAGAUGAACGAAAAUGAAGAUAUAACAUAUGAAAACUUACGGUAUGCAAGUAAAACAAUGCUUAGAGGGAAAUUUAAAGUUGUAAAUGUCUACAUUUAAAAAGAAGAAUGAGGCCAGGCACAGUGGCUGACGCCUGUAAUCCCAGCACUUUGGGAGGCCAAGGCUGGAGGAUCACUUGAGCCCAGGAGUUCCUGACCAGCUUGGGGAACAUAGUGAGAUCCCGUCACUACAAAAUAAAAAUUAAAAAAUUAACCAGGCACAGUGGCGUGUACCUGUAGUCCCAGCUACUUGGGAGGCCAAGGCAGGAGGGUUGCCAGAGCCCAGGAGUUCAAGACUGCAGUGAGCUACAAUCACACCACUGCACUCCAGCCUGGGUGACAGAGCAAGACCCUGUCUCUAAAUAAAUAAAUAAAGGAAAAGAAGAAUGAUCUCAAAUCAAUAACCUAAAUUUCUACCUUAAGACAUUGAAAAAAGAAGAGCAAAGUAAACCCAAAGAAGGAUUAGAGUGGAAAUUAAUGAAAUAGAGAAUAUAAAAAUGACACAGAAAAUCAAUGAAAUUAAAAGUUAGGUCUUGGCCGGACGCAGUGGCUCACACCUAUAAUCCCAGCACUUUGGGAGGCUGAGGAGGGCGGAUCACCUGAGGUCAGGAGUUCGAGACCAGCCUGGCCAACAUGGUGAAACUCCAUCUCUACUAAAAAUACAAAAAUUAGCCAGGCAUGGUGGCGAGCGCCUGUAAUCCCAGCUACUUGGGAGGCUGAGGCAGGAGAAUUGUUUGAACCCGGGAGGCGGAGGUUGCAGUGAGCCAAGAUUGCACUCCAGCCUGGAUGACAAGAGUGAAACUCUGUCUCAAAAAAAAAAAAAAAAAAAGGUCCUAAAAAGACCAACAAAAUUCACAAACCUUUAGCUAGACUGACUAAGAUAAAAGAAGAAAAGACUCAAAUUACUAAAAUCAAGAAUAAAAGAGAAGGCAUUAAUGCCAACCUUACAGAAAUAAAAGGAAUUAUAAGGCAAUACUGUGAACAACCGUAUGUCCACUAAUUCAAUAAUUUAGAUUAAAUGCAUAAAUUCCUAGAAAUAUAAAAACUACUGAAACUGACUCAAGAAAAAUGAGAAAAUCUGGCCAAGUGGGGUGGCUCACACUUGUAAUCCCAGAACUUCGGGAGGCCAAGGCAGGUGGAUCACAAGGUCAGGAGAUCAAGACCAGCCUGGCCAACACGGUGAAACCCCGUCUCUACUAAAAAUACAAAAAUUAGCCAGGCAUGGUGGCACGUGCCUGUAAUCCCAACUACUUGGGAGGCUGAGGCAGAAGAAUCGCUUGAACCUAGGAGGCGGAGGUUGCAGUGAGCCAAGGUCACUCCAUUACACUCUAGCCUGGACAACAAGAGUGAAACUGUCUCAAAAAAAAAAAAAAAAAAUUCAGUCUGGGCGCAGUGGCUCAUGCCUGUAAUCCCAGCACUUUGGGAGGCCAAGGUGGGCGGAUCACAAGGUCAAGACCAUCCUGGCCAACAUGGGGAAACCCCAUCUCUACUAAAAAUACAAAAAUUAGCUGGGUGUGGUGGCACGCGCCUGUAAUCCCAGCUACUCGGGGGGCUGAGGCAGGAGAAUCGCUUGAACCCGGGAGACGGAGGUUGCAGUGAGCUGAGUUUGUGCCACUGCACAAUCCAGCCUGGCGACAGUGGGAGACUUCAUCUCAAAAAAAAUAAAUAAAUAAAAUAAAUAAAUAAAUAGCAAGCAAAAAUUAGCCAGGCAUGGUGGGGCGAGUACUUCUAGUCCCAGUUACUCGGGAGGCUGAAGCAGGAGAAUCGCUUGAACCUGGGAGGCAGAGGUUGCAGUGAGCCAAGACUGCACCACUGCACUCCAGCUUGGGCGACAGAGUGAGACUCUGUCUCAAAAAAAAAAAAAGAAAAGAAAAGAAAAGAAAAUCGGCUGGGCGCAGUGGCUCACGCCUGUAAUCCCAGCACUUUGGGAGGCUGAGGCAGGUGGAUCAUGAGGUCAGGAGAUCGAGACCAUCCUGGCUAACACGGUGAAACUGUCUCUAUUGAAAAUACAAAAAAUUAGCCGGGCAUGGUAGCGGGCGUCUGUAGUCCCAGCUACUCGGGAGGCUGAGGCAGGAGAAUGGAGUGAACCCGGGAGGCGGAGCGUGCAGUGAGCCGAGAUAGCGCCACUGAGUCCAGCCUGGGUGAAAGAGCGAGAAUCCGUCUCAAAAAAAAAAAAAGGAAAGAAAAUCAAUUAAUGUAGUACACUACCUUGCCUUAAAGAAUGAAGGGGAGCUGGGCACGAUGGCUCACACCUGUAUUUCCAGGUACAUGGGAGGCUGAGGUGGGAGAAUUGCUUGAGCCCUGGAGUUGAAGGCUGCAGUGAGCUUUGAUUGCACCACUGCACUCCAGCCUGGGUGACAGAGCAAAACCCUGUAUCUAAAACAAAAAACACAAAACCAAUGGUGAAAAGCUGAAAGCUUUUCCCCUAAGAUCAGGAACAAGACAGAGAUGCCCACUUUCACAGUUGUAUUCAACACAGUACUGGCAGUCCUAGCCAGAGAAAUUAGGCAAGAAAAAGAAAAGGCAUCCAAAUUGGAAAGGAAGAAAUAGAACGAUCUCUAUUUGCAGAUGACAUUAUCACAUAUAUAGAAAAUCCCAAAUAAUCCACAGUAAACCCUUUUAUUUAUUUAUUUAUUUAGAGACCAAGGUCUCACUUUGUCCCCAAGACUGGAGUGCACCUGUGUGAUCAUAGCUCACUGUAGCUUCCAACUUCUGGGCUCAUGUGAUCCUCCUGCCUUUGCCUUCUGAGUAGCUGGGACUACAAUUAUGCGCCACCAUGCCUGGCUAAUUUUUAAAUCUUAUUUUUGUAUAGACAGGGCUUCACUAUAUUGCCCAGACUGGCAGAAAAGUUUUUUUUAAUUACUAGAGUUAAUAAAUGAAUUCAGUAAAGCAGCAGGGGACAAAGUCAACACACAAAGAACAAUUGUAUGUCUACUCACCAACAAUGAACAAUCAGAAAAAGAAAUUAAGAAAAUAAUUCUAUUUAUAAUAGUAUCAAAAAUAAUAAAAUACCUAGGGAUAAAUUUAACCAAGGAGGCAAAAGACUUAUACACUAAGUUUCAUUUAAAUAGGACAGUGAAUGUAAAAGUGUGAUUAGCACAGGGCCUGACCCAAAAUAGAUGCUUAAUGCCUAUUCUCAUCAGAGACACUGCUGAACGCCAUAGAAAGGACAGAGUCGGCUACACCGACAGGGACAAAGUUCCUUUGGAAGUCUGGCAGCCCUGCUCCUUCCUAGGGAUAGAGUUUUGCUUAGCUUUGCGGAGUGAUCAGCAAGAACACCCUUAAGUUUAUGAAAAGAGUCUGUGGAGUUAUUUGCAGAGAAAAUAGUAAGGGAUAAGCUAGGAAGAAAAUAAGGGAGAAACUAGAAGAUACCAAUAAAUCAGGAAUGUGGACGGCAGCUUUAAAAAGGCAAGGAACAGGUUUUCAUCCGUAAAAUGAACGGCCCUGCUAGGGGCAGGAAUUUAUUACUUAGCUCUUACUCUUAAAAUCCUUAUCCCUGGGAUACUCAGUGGUCGGCAGAGAGACCUGGAGGAAUAGCUUUUAUACUGGAGGUCUGCAUUAUCCAUGGAAAAUCAGUAAAAGUCCACUUAGGGGGAAUAUGCUUAUGAUGGGAACCAAGCUUAACAGCAUGUUGUGGGGGGAUAAAGUUUCAUCAGGACAAUCACAAAAAAUAAAAUGUGUUUCCUCUUGGAGUUAGCAAACUAUAUCUGCAACUAUGUAAUAAUUCUCAAAUAUUUUUACAUUUCUACAUCUUUUUUUUUUUUUCCAAGACGGAGUCUUGCUCUGUUGUCCAGAUGGUGCAGUGGCACCAUCUCGGCUCAGUGCAACCUCCGCCUCGG